UACAGAGGUCCCGAGCGUUGUUCGGAUUUAUUGGGCGUAAAGGGUGCGUAGGCGGCGGAGUAAGUUGGGUGUGAAAUCCCGGGGCUUAACCUCGGAAUGGCAUUCAAUACUGCUUCGCUCGUGUACUGGAGAGGAGGCUGGAAUUUACGGUGUAGCAGUGAAAUGCGUAGAUAUCGUAAGGAAGGCCGGUGGCGAAAGCGAGCCUCUGGACAGUUACUGACGCUGAUGCACGAAGGCCAGGGGAGCAAACGGG
rnacentral:rRNA from 1 species